UGGGGAAUAUUGCACAAUGGCGCAAGCCUGAUGCAGCAACGCCGCGUGAGGGACGACGGCCUUCGGGUUGUAAACCUCUUUUGGCAGGGAAGAAGCGAAAGUGACGGUACCUGCAGAAAAAGCACCGGCUAACUACGUGCCAGCAGCCGCGGUGAUACGUAGGGUGCAAGCGUUGUCCGGAAUUAUUGGGCGUAAAGAGCUCGUAGGCGGUUUGUCGCGUCUGCUGUGAAAACCCGAGGCUCAACCUCGGGCCUGCAGUGGGUACGGGCAAACUAGAGUGCGGUAGGGGAGAUUGGAAUUCCUGGUGUAGCGGUGGAAUGCGCAGAUAUCAGGAGGAACACCGAUGGCGAAGGCAGAUCUCUGGGCCGUAACUGACGCUGAGGAGCGAAAGCAUGGGGAGCGAACA
rnacentral:rRNA from 1 species